GCCUUGUGGUGUAAUGGUAGCACACCGGAUUCUGGUUCCGUUUGUGAGAGUUCGAGUCUUUCCAAGG
rnacentral:tRNA from 1 species